ACAAACCAAAUGGGAUUCUUCAAGUAAUGGCGAAUGAAUUUAGACAUGCUCAACUUGAAAAAUGCAGUGCUUCUGCUUGACAUGUAAUUUCAAAACGUAUGACCAAGUGGCAUGCAAGUGGAAGCUCAUUGAAAGAUUGCAUCAAAGAGGGUGAACAUCCAUUUUGCCAAUUGCAAUGCUAUUUUUAUGGUGUAUGCUUCAUGAGUCACAUUCCAUGGCAUUGGAUUGCAAUGUGGGUGGUAAAUUUCAUGCAAAGAACAAUAUAUGGCUGAGAUUGAUAGCACACAAGUACCAUAAGGGAAAUAUGAAAAGGACUUUGAAAAGAGAUUUAAAAGAGUUUGCAGUUGCUGAACAAAAAACGAAUAGGAUGUCUUCUGCUGAAUAGAUUGUUGUGCCAUAAUUUGCUUCCAUUGUAAGUGUGUAUGCAAUCAAUGAGUCUGGUCUGCGCGUGCCAUGCCAAUCUUUGGCAAUCUUGACCUAUGCAUGUGUAUGGUGGUUUGCUUGCGAGCGAAUGAAAACAUGUGAUUGACCCGGUUUGCUAAAUGUAUAAUGUGGUUGGAGUUUGUAAGCUACUUGUGUUAAGACCUCCUUUGGGUUACACGUGCUGAGCCAUGUCUGACUUUUGAACAUUUGUUAUGGGUUGUAUGUUCUGCUUGACCCGUCUUGAAACACGGACCAAGGAGUCUAACAGCUGUGCAAGCUUUGAACUGCAAAUUUGCUGACAUCAAUGAGAAUUAGAGCUGGGAUUUUUUGCACCAGCAGCCAAUUGAUUGGUAAAUAAAGCCUUGAGUUCGAGCAUAUUUAUUAGGACCCGAAAGAUGGUGAACUAUGCCUGAAAAGAAUGAAUUCAGAGGAAACCCUGACGGAAGUUCGUAUCAAUACUGACGUGCAAAUCGUUUGUCAUACUUGGGUAUAGGGCGAAAGAC
rnacentral:rRNA from 1 species